GUCCCUAUCGUCUAGCCCGGUCUAGGACACCGCCCUUUCACGGCGGCAGCACCGGUUCAAAUCCGGUUGGGGACGCCA
rnacentral:tRNA from 1 species